rnacentral:rRNA from 1 species
AGAACGAACGCUGGCGGCAUGCCUAAUACAUGCAAGUCGAACGAACACUUCGGUGUUAGUGGCGCACGGGUGCGUAACGCGUGGGAAUCUGCCCUUGGGUUCGGAAUAACAGUUGGAAACGACUGCUAAUACCGGAUGAUAUCGAAAGAUCAAAGAUUUAUCGCCCAGGGAUGAGCCCGCGUAGGAUUAGCUAGUUGGUGAGGUAAAGGCUCACCAAGGCGACGAUCCUUAGCUGGUCUGAGAGGAUGAUCAGCCACACUGGGACUGAGACACGGCCCAGACUCCUACGGGAGGCAGCAGUAGGGAAUAUUGGACAAUGGGCGCAAGCCUGAUCCAGCAAUGCCGCGUGAGUGAUGAAGGCCUUAGGGUUGUAAAGCUCUUUUACCCGAGAUGAAUAAUGACAGUAUCGGAAGAAUAAGCCCGGCUAACUCCGUGCCAGCAGCCGC